UUGCAGUGCCGAGGACAGCAGGCCCGUCGCGGCCGGCCGCUAUAAAGGCCGCCGCCGGCCGUCCACCGACACAGUAUCGCUCACCUCACCUCUCCACUCACAUCAUGAAGCUGCUGGCUGUGCUGUUGGCCGUGGUAGCCUCGACGCAGGCGUUCGGCCUGGGCGGUGGCCGGCGCGGACACCACGGGGAGGCUACGGCGGCUACCAGACGGAGCACAUCGGGUACCAGCCGGUGCGCACCGUGGUCAAACACCACCCGUACCCGGUGGUGAAGCGCGUGCCCUACGAGGUCAUCAAGCCGGUGCCCGUCUACCGUCCCGUCUACAACACCGUCUACAAGAAGGUGCCCCAGCCGUACCAGGUCGUCAAGCACGUGCCCGUCGUCAAGCACGUGCCAGUGGUGAAGCACGUGCCGGUGGUGAAGCACGUGGAGGUGGUGAAGCACUACCCGGUGGUGAAGCACCACUACCGCGAGGAGAAGGUGCCCGUCAAGGUGCCCGUCUACGUCGAGAAGCCCAAGUACGGCCACGGCCACGGCGGGUACGGCCACCACUGAGCCGGCUGCGGCCACGAACUUCCCCUGCAGCUAUCAUCCCGAUAACGUAUGAUUCAUCCGUCUGCAUCCGCGCUGUGUGAUAUUUAUAUUUCAUGUGGCCAAUCAGCGCCGAGCUAUGCCUGAUGGCCUGUGGCCUGCAAGCCAUGUUGCCGUACCCCGACUGGUCACUGCCUGCUCCAUCUGAAAUGUGUCAACUGUGGUGUACGUUUGUAUACAAUGUAUGCACUGAAUACACUGACUCUCUGUGA